CCUGCCCUCUUCUUCCUCCUCCGACAUUCUACACGGCGGCCCUCCGGCGAGGCACGUCCCCGUCGCGGUCUUCCCUGGUGGGCUGCCUCCCGGCUUGCUCUGCUUGGUGGGGAGGAUGCGGACGAGGUGGCGGUGCUUCCGAGCGGCUCAGCGGAGCUCGGGGAGGCCGGCAGCCACGGCGAUUUGCGGACGGAGGAGACCAGCAGCCGGUCGAGGAUUCGAUGCGUGGCGUGGUUGGGCGGGCGGUUGGCCAAGCUCACGGACACCGGCUAUGGGAGGACCUUUUAUUCAACGGGCUCGGGCACGCGGCCGUCAUGGCGACCGAGGAGGUGGGGGGAGGAGCACAGCGACCCCAUCGAGCUUUGGAUUUGAUGGCCCGCUGUAAGAUGCCUCGCGUCCAUGGCAGCAACAUUCAACGCGUGGAGGUCGGUAAGGGGUCGCCCCUCCUCCUGUUCCUAGCUCUUCCUGUUGGAAGGCGAGCACGCUCCAGGGAGUGGUCCAUCACGCCUCUUUUGUUUCACAGCCUGAUCUGGUGACGACAAGUUCAUGUUCUCUUUUAUGAGUUUUCCCGGUCCAGACGUCCAGUUGAGAUACAUUGGUGCCUGCUUGGAUUGGCCUUAGGGUUGGAGUAUAUUCUCUAAUGGAAGUUGACACAGCUGGAUCUCCCUAACCCGAUUAAUUUAUCUGUUCAGCAAAGAUUCUUCACGCUCUGUGGGUUGAGAUGCUUGAAGGAGAGGCCGACCUGGCCGCCGCCGACGGAGCGGAAGAGGACGUGGUAGGCGAAGCCGAAGCCUUCGUCGCUGACCUUGAGUGUGCUGCUGAAGCCGUCGAUGGUGUUGAUGUCUGGCUCGGCCCUGUUGUCCGACUCCAUCGAGUUGAAGAUGGUGGGCUGCGGGCCGGCUUGGACGGAGCUGCGGAUGGUGGGGAACGGCAAAAGUUCAGUUGGCUGUUUGAAGCAGGCGGCAUUGCCAAAUCCCUCCCUGUGCGUCCUCAGCUGCAGCAAACAGUCAAUCUAGACAGUCCUUUAUCUUUUGCCUUUAAAAUUAACAUUAUCUCCUGUUAAACAUGGUCAUCAAUUACUUAGCAUGUAAGGAAUGUAUAUAUUUUCUCACUUAUUGUUAUCAAAGAAGUCAUAUAGUUGCAUGGUUUGAUUAACUUCACAAGGGACUAUUGUUUCAACAGUAAGUGAUACAAGAUAUUUUCUCUCUCUUCGAGUGUAAUAAAGUUGAAAAGUCAUUGAUGGCUAUUUUUUGUUUGCUUCAAGUCCAUGACAUUUUUUAUAUUCUUUUGGGACCAUGAACUAUUGAUUUGCAUGAGUAAAAAUGUAGGCAUCUGUACUGUAAAUUCAUUCUUUGUUUAUGGACAAUACUGCUAUUUAAUUUUGGCUAAAGGAAUAGGUAGUCCAACUCCACUUCUUAUUCUGAAUUUUCAGAAAUGCAUUCGUUUACUCCACGCUCAUACUGAUAUGCUCCUCACUACCUGAUGUGGUCAUAGGCAAGAAAUGUGUACUUAGUUGACAGGUUAGCCUCAGAACCUGCCACUCCCAUUUGUUAUAUCUUUGUCAAGCAACCAUCAUUGGUAAAAUUUACAUCAUGCAAAAUUCAAAGUGAAGUAGACAAGCAACUUGUGAUUUCUUUUAUGUACAUCUACUCAAAUGCGAAGUGAAGUAGAGCAGUUGCUGAUGAGUGUAGCACCUGUUGUUUCCUUCACAGAGAAAAUGAGCUGAACAUGUCUUUAAAUAGAGGUACACAAAUCCUUUCCCUAAUACAUCCUGUACUUUACCCAUUUUUAUUGAUAGAUUUGUUAGUUCCUUCCACCUUUUGCAUUCACAAAUGGAUUUAGCAUUCUGGCUUACACUAACUGUCGUAGCUUAUGUUAUCUGCAAGAACUUCAACUCCAUCCAUAUGUCUUGGUAGUGCAAACAAAAACAUCCGUUUUACCCCAUGUUAUCAACAUACCAAUGCCAUUAUUUAUAGAUAGUGAGAUAUAUAGGAAAUAUGGGCAAUUAAGUUAUUCUCUAGAUUUUUUUUGCCACUAUGGGAUUUUGAUCAUGUCUUUGUUACAAGGAAUCCCCAUUCCAACAACAGCUAUAUGCUCAUAUUUCAUAUCUGCAUUGACACCAGCGUUUGCGCCUCUUCCCCUCGAAAUCCGGCGAAUUGCUUGGCUAUCCCUCUGUCAAACACGAAGACCAGCGGCACAUCUAUUCGCUCCAUGCAGGGUGUCAUGGUCCAACCCCUUUCUUUCCACAUAUGACCAAUAAUUCAAGCCUUAGGUUCAUGAAAAAAAAAAUAGAAUCCAUGAUUAUUUCAUCAAACAACAUUAACUUUAUUUCAUCAAACAGCAUUAACUUAUAAUCUCACAUGUUUUAUUGAGUAAAAUAUCGCCACCUGGAGUUAUUCUUUACAUAAUAACACCUGUACUACAAGAUCUACAAGCUGUAUUGCAGAGUGUGUUGCUUCUUCUACAUUAAUUGCUAAAUUUGGUUAAUAUAGUACAUGCCAGUAAUAUCAGUAAGACCCAUGUGUAUAUCUAUGUAUUGAAAAAUAAGCAUUUCCUCAAAUCGCCUAUGCAAAUAAUCCAUUGUAAACCCCAUUGUAAAUCGCCUCUGCAAACAAUAGUUUUCACAAUUGCUUACAUAUGAGAACAUGUGUAAAUCCCAUUGUAGUGAUCUCUUUUCAUUUGCAAAUAUUAUAGAACAUACGUGUAUGAUAUAUAUGCACUCACAAAAAGGAGAUUAAUUGGUAUGAGUUGGUGAUUCAUACAUAUCUUCUAGACUAAAUUAGUUUCUACGAUGCUGCAACCAGUUGACUAAUUUUGAGGUACUAAUGUUGUCAGCAUUUCUGAGGUCUAGGACUUGCUACAUUCUGGCCUUUUAACAUCACAUCUACAUUUCAGUUGAUAGAGCAUGUACAUUUUACAUCUUAAUAAGUGAUGUGAUGCACAUAUGGGGUGUGGGUGAGCUCCUCAAGAAUUAAUUUGAGAUUGAGCAGAUCUCAAGAUUGGUCGUUUUUCCUCUAUUCCACCACUUUCUUGGUAUUUUUAGUUAGUCAUAGCGUGAGAAUUUUUGGCUGCCAGUUGUGAGAACAAAGACUUAACUUAUACUAGAGAUAGAAAGAGAGGUUCGGAUUAUGCAAAAAUAUGGUAUUGGGUAACUUUGUAUAAAGUCUACAAUAAAUAUGAUGGUUGUAUGCAAAAAAAUUCGUGAAUUUACAUGAUCUUCUGAAUUAUAUUUUGCAUACACUUUCUACCAGCCAUCAUGGAAACCUGUUGAACCAUGUUUUGCAUCGUUUUAUAUAAAUAAGAGUGGAUGAUCCCACAAAAUAAUAAUUUUCAUACGUACUAAUUCUUAAGUAAUGUGUAGUCCUUGUGAAGCUUGAUUGCAUUCACUUUAUAUCAGCCGUAUUGGAUAAGGUGUCUUUAUUUACUUAUCUAUUAAUUAGUAUAUUGCACUAACUUAUAUAUCAUAUACACUGUCUCCCGUAUAAUUUUGUUCUUCCUUUCUGCUCGAUAAUCUUAAAAUGUUGCCUUUGUGGAGAAAGUUAAAUAGAUGCUCCUAUAUGUGAACUUCUCUUUAAAAGCAUUUUUUUUUGUCAUGCCACUGCCUUUUAAGUUUUAAUUCAUGUUUCUUACAAUGUAUAGUUGAUUUUACCUUCCAUUACUGCGAAAGAACAAUUAUCAUACAUACUAAUUCAUUAGUAUGCUAUAAUUUCCUGGAUUAUAGUUUGCGUACACUAUACUAGCCACCAUGGAAACCUCCUGAGCCAUGUUUUGCCUCCUUUUAUAUUAAUCAGGGUGGACAAGGUAUUAGAAUGUUCUGUUGCCCCUGGUUGUUCUUUUUUCUUUUUUAGACAGUUAAUAUCAUAAAGAUGCUUCUUACAUGUUUAGACGAGUUUCUGAAGUCAAUUACUUAUUCCACGUUGGUAACACAAUUUAUUCCUUAGAUUGAUGUGGGGGUUGAACAAUUUUUUUACAAGGUUCCCACACAGAUGUUUCCCACGGCUAAAAUGCAGUUUCAUAGACAGUUUUUGGUAGGUUCAAGAAAGUAUAUCAGUGGAAGGAAACUGUUAUGUGAUGUGUACAUUCUUUUAUAGCUGUGGGCUGCGAUUGAGGGACAGCACAUGCUUUUGGCAUACUUUUGCAAUGUUGCUUCUCCACUUUCCCCAGGAUUCAGCUAUGCUGUUGUGUCCUUGUGUUUUAGGGUGCAAAUAUAGAGAGUAAAAACACUUCCAGGUCAGGACAUGAUAACAACUAUAAAUUUGUGAGAUCCAAAGUACAUCAGCUACUUAUUCAGCUAGCACUCAGUUAACUUACGUGUUAAUAUUCAGUUAGCUUAAAUUCAAUUGCCAUCAGAUACAUAUUAGUGCAUUAUUUGGUUAUUAUUCAGAUAACACACACCUUACACUUUUAGCCUGCAGUUUGUGUCUGGUCGUUCGUUUUCCCAGCUGCUGCUUCCGUUGGUGUUUCUUCUGUGCUUACUCCUUAGCCUGCUGCUCGGGAUGCUGCUUCUUCCUUUGUUGCUUUGUCUGAUGUGGAUGCUCGCAGGCGAGAUAUUCUGCCUGGCAAGCAGACGGUUGGUUGUUCUGAAGGGCCUCCUUUUCCUGCAUGGUUUAAUCACUCUGCUUUUUUUCUCUUGACUUUGUUUAGUGACUUCACUGCAGAUCAUUUGGAGCAUGUCCUUCCUCUUGGCCCUUCAGUUUAUUCUUCAAGGAAAGAUCAGGGACAAUACUAGAUAAACAGUGAUGGGACGAAUGUGUUCCUGUUAAGGAGUUCGUGGAGGCAUUUCAGUCUUCCCACGUUGGUCAGGCUAUAAAUAGUGAGUUAGCACUCCAUUGACUGUGUUGCCUAGAAUAUGUACACAAAUAUGUUUCUUUCAUGAGCAAUAUCUCCCUUUAAGGCUAGCUUCACGUUGGUCUUUCAUGAGCAAUCCUCCAGCUGCUCUGUAGACUCGGCAAUUUGUGGUUCAUUGACUGAUGAAAAUUUGUUGCACCCUAAUUGACUUAUCAGAUGAUGCACUCUGCUUUGAAAUACACAAUCAAG